AGCGGCGGACGGGUGAGUAACGCGUGGGUAACCUGCCUCAUACAGGGGGAUAACAGUUGGAAACGGCUGCUAAUACCGCAUAAGCGCACAGUACCGCAUGGUACCGUGUGAAAAACUCCGGUGGUAUGAGAUGGACCCGCGUCUGAUUAGGUAGUUGGUGGGGUAACGGCCUACCAAGCCGACGAUCAGUAGCCGACCUGAGAGGGUGACCGGCCACAUUGGGACUGAGACAUGGCCCAA
rnacentral:rRNA from 1 species